AGUUAAAACUUUCAACAACGGAUCUCUUGGCUCUGGCAUCGAUGAAGAACGCAGCGAAAUGCGAUACGUAGUGUGAAUUGCAGAAUUUAGUGAAUCAUCGAAUCUUUGAACGCACAUUGCGCCCGCCAGUAUUCUGGCGGGCAUGCCUGUUCGAGCGUCAUUU
rnacentral:rRNA from 1 species